GCCUGGGUGGCUCAGUCGGUUGAGCGUCCGACUUCGGCUCAGGUCAUGAUCUUACAGUUUGUGGGUUUGAGCCCCGCAUCAGGCU
rnacentral:tRNA from 1 species